UUAUCAACCAAUUUUGGUUCCAAUGUUAAUAAUAGCUUACGGCAAAUUAAAUCAUCUACCUUAUGGGGCGCCUUCCGGAUUGUCAAGAAACUGAAGAUUUCAUACAAUGGGGUCUAUUACUGUCUUUAGAGAAGAUGGCAAACUGUAUCUAACCAGGAUAGAAGAAGAAGGGGAAGGCCAAGACAGGCAGCUGCAUAAUCCGUCCUCAGCAGGCUUCUGUCCCAAAUACACACCUAGUCGAAGUGUGCAAUUUCAGGUGACUCCUUUUGCCUCAUGUGCUCCGUAGAGCUUUAUUUUGUUAUAGGGCAUUUUGUUGUACAAAUAAAUGUUUUUACUUAUAAAGAUA